rnacentral:rRNA from 1 species
UAAUUAAUUAAUUUUGAUUACUAUUUGUUAUCGGUGUUGUGUGCCUUCUGCUUCAUGCUUAAUCGAUUGCUAGGAACAAGCUUCUUUAACCGAAAAAACUAGAUCUCCGUAAAUAGUUGUCUGUCAGUCGUUGUCAUUGGGUAAAUAUGGUAAAUUGUUAUGGUGUUGUGAUAAAUUAAUCGUUAGUUUUUAUAUCUGUUUGGUAGAUUGUUAUUUUAAAUUAUUUACUGGGUGAAGAAAUCCGGUAAAAAAAUAUAUUUUUAUUUUAUUGCUAUUAUAAAAGGGUUAAAACUACCCCUUUAUUAUAAAAGUGUUAUAACUUUUGCUAGUUUAUUUUUAUAAAUUAUUUUGGGCUGCUACCUGGUUGUGUUAUAUUUAGUGCUAAUGCAUGAUUAAAUAAGUAAUUCUAGUAUAGUUCAUUGUUUCUCGAGUUUAGCCUGUCUGUUUAUUAAAAACAUUUCCAUAUGAUAUUAUUUAUGGUAGUACCUGCUCUAUGUACAUUAUAAAUGGCCGCAGUAUCUUGACUGUGCGAAGGUAGCAUAAUUAAUUGCCCCAUAAUUGGGGGCUUGUUUGAAUGGUUUGACACGGUUAGUACUAACAUUGUGUAUAUGUGUGAAAUUAAUUUUGGGGGUUCAGAAUCCCCUUAGUUUAAUUAGACGGAAAGACCCCAGGAUCUUUCUUUUUUGCCUGGGGCAGGUUGCAAUAGUUCAUUGUCAUUGUGACCCUGUUUUAAGUUUAUUGGGUUAAGUUACCCUGGGGAUAACAGUGUAAUAUCUUAUUAGAGAUCUUAUCGAAUAAGUUGUUUGCCACCUCGAUGUUGACUUAGGUUUAGGUUUGGGCGCAGUUGUUCAAAUUUAAGGUCUGUUCGACCUUUAUACACCUCCAUGAGUUGAGUUAAGACCGGCGUGAGCCAGGUCGGUUCUUAUCUAUUUGUCCGACUCACUAGUACGAAAGGAUCGUGAGUCAUUUUGUU